GGACAGCUCACUACCCAAGGCGGCAGGGAAUUUGCACCUCUGCAUUGUGUAAGUCACUCUUCACAUUGAGGCACGGUCCAGAGAAGGACAAACCAAACAAGAUCUGCAGGUUAGGGCCCAGUGAGGUCAGUUGAAAUUCUGUUUCUAAGACUCACUUGUCAUAGGUCCUUAGGCUACUUUACAUUCCUGUGCCAGUAUCUGCCCACUGAAUAUUGAGAAUAAAGUGUCCUGCCUCUUAGUAUGUACAGUAUAGGCAGCACUGGCCAAUAGAAUUCUCUGUCAUCCUAAAAAUGUUCUCUUAACUCCAAACUGUCAGUCUGCUGUACCCAUCAGCCACAUAUAGCCGCUCAGUACUUAAAAUAUGGCUAGCAUGACAGGAAAACUGACUCAUUUAUUUUUAAUUCAGUUAAAUUUAAAUAGCCUCAAGUAACUACUGCUUGUAGAACUAGACAGUGCACGGAAUGAAAAAUGAAAUGAGGUCUCACUACUACCAAGACACAGUAGGCCAGUAGAUGAGGGAAGUGUGUGUUGGGAUUCUUUAACACAUGGAAUAGUGUGUCAAAGACAAAGUUACUUAGCAUUUGUGCACUUGCUUUGCUUCUGGUUGUACACUGCUGUGUCACUGCACAAAAGCCUGCUCUUUCCAUGGUGCUGCCUAGGAUUUACCUCCGUCAGUCACAGCAUGGAGUAUGACAGGACACUGCAGUCCAGAAGUCGGGUUAACCUACAAGCAGCACUACAGCUGGAGGCUGUAAUCUCUUCCAUUCCUUGCCCAGGACCACAGGCCUUUAACACUGUAGACUAUUUUAUUGGCUCGGUCUAAAGUGCUAAGCAACUGAAUUUUGAAUUGUAAUUGGGAUUGAAACCAGAAGUCAUAUUUUUCUCCUUAACACCCUAGAUCUGGAACCAUUGAUUGCAUAUUUUAAUAAAAAAUGCUAAGUAUGGUAAAUAUACUUUUUAAAAAAAAAUCUAUAGAAAACUUUUCAGUCUGCAUCUUUCCCUUUAUCCUCCUGCUUUUGUGUUUGCUAAUCUCCCCUAGAGCAGUUCUCUCCUACACAGCCAAGUUUGUUGUGCAAGGUAUAAUCAUCUCCUUUGUUAAUUAGGUCUGGUUAAAGAUCGGAAGCCGGUAGAAUAAGUUUGAGGAAUGUUUUGCUCACAGGUCCUGUCUCCAGCCCAGCCUUUGUACACCUUGCUGUCAGACCAAGACUAAAAACCAUUUUAUUGUUGUG
ensembl:lncRNA